rnacentral:misc_RNA from 1 species
GUUGGGUGGAGCAACGGUCUUGCUGCUUGGGAGGCUAGUUUACAUUGACGCUCUAGACCGAAUGUUGCCGCCCCUUCUAUUCCAACAUAUGAAAGAUUCACCAUCUUUAAUUGGGUUAUUUUUACACUUGAGAAUCAAACAAAUGAUUGAAAAAGACAAGUAACUCAAAAUUAUCACCCCUAAAGUUUUGCUAACCCAAUAAGAUAAUCCAGUCCUGUUAUUCUAAAUUAUAGUCCAACCUAUCAAACCUAGACGUUCUAGCUUUUAAGAGGUUGAAAACUGAGAGUUCAAUUCCU